GGGGAAUCUUCCGCAAUGGACGAAAGUCUGACGGAGCAACGCCGCGUGAGUGAUGACGGCCUUCGGGUUGUAAAGCUCUGUUAAUCGGGACGAGUGGUUCUUGUGCAAAUAGUGCGAGGAUUUGACGGUACCGGAAUAGAAAGCCACGGCUAACUACGUGCCAGCAGCCGCGGUAAUACGUAGGUGGCAAGCGUUGUCCGGAAUUAUUGGGCGUAAAGCGCGCGCAGGCGGAUUGGUCAGUCUGUCUUAAAAGUUCGGGGCUUAACCCCGUGAUGGGAUGGAAACUGCCAAUCUAGAGCAUCGGAGAGGAAAGUGGAAUUCCUAGUGUAGCGGUGAAAUGCGUAGAUAUUAGGAAGAACACCAGUGGCGAAGGCGACUUUCUGGACGAAAACUGACGCUGAGGCGCGAAAGCCAGGGGAGCGAACGGGAUUAGAUACCCCGGUAGUCCUGGCCGUAAACGAUGGGUACUAGGUGUAGGAGGUAUCGACCCCUUCUGUGCCGGAGUUAACGCAAUAAGUACCCCGCCUGGGGAGUACGACCGCAAGGUUG
rnacentral:rRNA from 1 species